rnacentral:rRNA from 1 species
GACGAACGCUGGCGGCGUGCCUAAUACAUGCAAGUAGAACGCACAGUUUAUACCGUAGCUUGCUACACCAUAGACUGUGAGUUGCGAACGGGUGAGUAACGCGUAGGUAACCUGCCUGGUAGCGGGGGAUAACUAUUGGAAACGAUAGCUAAUACCGCAUAAUAUUAAUUAUUGCAUGAUAAUUAAUUGAAAGGUGCAAUUGCACCACUACCAGAUGGACCUGCGUUGUAUUAGCUAGUAGGUGAGGUAACGGCUCACCUAGGCGACGAUACAUAGCCGACCUGAGAGGGGGCUCGGCCACACUGGGACUGGGACACGGCCCAGACUCCUACGGGGGGCAGCAGUAGGGAAUCUUCGGCAAUGGACGAAAGUCUGACCGAGCAACGCCGCGUGAGUGAAGAAGGUUUUCGGAUCGUAAAGCUCUGUUGUAAGAGAAGAACGGGUGUGAGAGUGGAAAGUUCACACUGUGACGGUAUCUUACCAGAAAGGGACGGCUAACUACGUG